UUGCUUUAGGGAUGAACAAGUCCCUGAUAAUUGAACUCCAUUCUUCACUUUGUCAGCAUUGUUUUAUUUUAUGCUUUGCUGAUCAUUAUCAGAUGGUACACUU
rfam:Nicotiana sylvestris Nsyl_contig63137, whole genome shotgun sequence.